rnacentral:rRNA from 1 species
GGCUAACGCUGGCGGCGUGUCUUAGCCAUGCAAGUCGAGCGGACUUAUGGGGUAACUUAUAAGUCAGCGGCGGACGGCGGAGUAACACGUAGCUAACCUACCCUCUGGACGGGGAUAACCUACCGAAAGGUGGGCUAAUACCCGAUGUAGUCAUCCUGUAUAGGGGUGAUGAAAGGUGGGCUUCUGUUUACAAGCUCAUGCUGGAGGAGGGGGCUGCGGCCUAUCAGGUAGUUGGUAGGGUAAUAGCCUACCAAGCCGAUGACGGGUAGCCGGCCUGAGAGGGUGACCGGCCCGAGGGGCACUGAGAUACGGGUCCCACUCCUACGGGAGGCAGCAGGCUAGAAAUUUGGGCAAUGGGGGAAACCCUGACCCAGUGACGCCGCGUGCAGGAAGGAGCCCUUCGGGGUGUAAACUGCUGUCGUGUAGGGAGAAGGGUACUAAGGUGAACAAUCUUAGUACUUGACGGUACUACAGGAGGGAGCCCAGGCUAACCUCGUG